UUCUUUCUUUCCCCCGUUUCUCCUCAUCUUCUUUUCUCCUUCUUCCUCCUUCAACCCUAGCCCAUGCCACAAUGGUUGGCUGCUUUUCUGCCCAAAAGUGGCACUUAGUUUUUGCUCUCCAUUCCCUCUUUUGAAUGCUUCGGUUAAAUUUCUUGAAAAAUUUCCCAAAAGUCACAAAAAUACCUUCAACUUUGGAACUUCUUUAGCAUCGAUCUAAAGAUCUGACCGUUGAACCAUCUUGUAACUUCGAUCACGACUUCUCCUUGGUAUGACGAACUUCUUCACCGCUUAGAUCUCUCAAAUGGGUUAGCUAUUACAACCAUAAUGGUUGGUAUUUGGCCUUUUGCCGAAUCAUUUCUGUAGCCAUGGGGUUUGAGGGUCUUGGUAUUAUAAAGGAGUGAAGGGUUGGUUGAUGAGGGUUAGGAGUUGAUGGUUCUUGUAAGCAAACAAAAUUGUUGUAGAUUUGGGGUUUCUUAUUUCACAAUUUCAAAUAAGUUUUUUUUUUGUUUUAUUUUGUUACUUGGUAUUCUAAUUAGUUUUGGGAUUUUGUUGAAUAUCUAUUUCAAGUAUUCAAUUAAUUAUUUUAUUUGUUUGCA
rnacentral:lncRNA from 1 species